UCUUUUAGCAGGGAAGAAGCGAAAGUGACGGUACUGCAGAAAAAGCACGGCUAACUACGUGCCAGCAGCGCGUAAUACGUAGGGUGCAAGCGUUAUCCGGAAUUAUUGGGCGUAAAGAGCUCGUAGGCGGUUUGUCGCGUCUGCUGUGAAAUCCCGAGGCUCAACCUCGGGCCUGCAGUGGGUACGGGCAGACUAGAGUGCGGUAGGGGAGAUUGGAAUUCCUGGUGUAGCGGUGGAAUGCGCAGAUAUCAGGAGGAACACCGAUGGCGAAGGCAGAUCUCUGGGCCGUAACUGACGCUGAGGAGCGAAAGGGUGGGGAGCAAACAGGCUUAGAUACCCUGGUAGUCCACCCCGUAAACGUUGGGAACUAGUUGUGGGGUCCAUUCCACGGAUUCCGUGACGCAGCUAACGCAUUAAGUUCCCCGCCUGGGGAGUACGGCCGCAAGGCUAAAACUCAAAGGAAUUGACGGGGACCCGCACAAGCGGCGGAGCAUGCGGAUUAAUUCGAUGCAACGCGAAGAACCUUACCAAGGCUUGACAUAUACGAGAACGCUGCAGAAAUGUAGAACUCUUUGGACACUCGUAAACAGGUGGUGCAUGGUUGUCGUCAGCUCGUGUCGUGAGAUGUUGGGUUAAGUCCCGCAACGAGCGCAACCCUCGUUCUAUGUUGCCAGCACGUAAUGGUGGGAACUCAUGGGAUACUGCCGGGGUCAACUCGGAGGAAGGUGGGGAUGACGUCAAAUCAUCAUGCCCCUUAUGUCUUGGGCUUCACGCAUGCUACAAUGGCCGGUACAAAGGGCUGCAAUACCGUAAGGUGGAGCGAAUCCCAAAAAGCCGGUCCCAGUUCGGAUUGAGGUCUGCAACUCGACCUCAUGAAGUCGGAGUCGCUAGUAAUCGCAGAUCAGCAACGCUGCGGUGAAUACGUUCCCGGGUCUUGUACACACCGCCC
rnacentral:rRNA from 1 species